GCCAGAAUGACGUAGUGGUUUGAGUGUUGGACUAUGAUUCUGAAGAUUGGGGUUCGAAUCCUGGCUUGGCCA